rnacentral:rRNA from 1 species
UGGGUAACCUGCCUUAUAGUGGGGGAGUAGCCUUUCGAAGGAAGAUUAAUACCGCAUAAGAUUGUAGUAUCGCAUGAUAUAGCAAUUAAAGGAGCAAUUCGCUAUAAGAUGGACCCGCGUCGCAUUAGCUAGUUGGUGAGGUAAUGGCUCACCAAGGCGACGAUGCGUAGCCGACCUGAGAGGGUGAUCGGCCACAUUGGGACUGAGACACGGCCCAGACUCCUACGGGAGGCAGCAUG